rnacentral:misc_RNA from 1 species
GAUGAAGAACGUAGCGAAAUGCGAUAAGUAAUGUGAAUUGCAGAAUUCAGUGAAUCAUCGAAUCUUUGAACGCACAUUGCGCCCGCCAGCAUUCUGGCGGGCAUGCCUGUUCGAGCGUCAUUUCAACCCUCAAGCUCUGCUUGGUGUUGGGGCCCUACGGUUGACGUAGGCCCUUAAAGAUAGUGGCGGACCCUCUCGGAGCCUCCUUUGCGUAGUAACUAACGUCUCGCAUUGGGAUUCGGAGGGACUCUUGCCGUAAAACCCCCAAAUUUUCUAAUGGUUGACCUCGGAUCAGGUAGGAAUACCCGCUGAACUUAAGCAUAUCAAUAAGCGGAGGA